UACGUAGGGUGCAAGCGUUGUCCGGAAUUAUUGGGCGUAAAGAGCGUGUAGGCGGCUUGAUAAGUCUGCUGUGAAAGUCCAGGGCUCAACCCUGGAAAGCCGGUGGAUACUGUCAAGCUAGAGUCCGGAAGGGGCGAGUGGAAUUCCUGGUGUAGCGGUGAAAUGCGCAGAUAUCAGGAGGAACACCGGUGGCGAAGGCGGUUCUCUGGGCAUUACCUGACGCUGAGGAGCGAAAGUGUGGGGAGCGAACAGG
rnacentral:rRNA from 1 species